AUAGAACGCGCGGCUCUAACAGUUCUUAGUACAGUUUGCUGGAUUUAACUAUUAUCGUUGCAAGAAUAGUGUUUUUGAAAGCAUUUUAAAAUGCUGUUGGUCAAGGCGAAUGUACAAUAGCUUUACCAGUAUUUGGAAAGGAUAGUUAAGGAUUCGUAGGGAGGUUAUGCUAAAGUGGUGUUACUAAUAGGGAACUAAACGUACUGUCUAGUUUAACAUCGCAAAUAUAAUUUGCUAGUCCUUAACCGGACGCCCGUUGUCCGUCAUGGCAGGCGCUCUAACUGCACUCAUGCGCGGUCUUUGCCUUGGGGCCCGAUUUCCGUCUAUUGGAAUUGCGCCUGCAGUAGCCGCCAUUCAUACACCUCUCUACCCCAUGAAUAACCAAAUACUUUUGAAACAGGUGAGAACGAAAACUAUGAAAGCUUCACGACGUAUUCGAGGGUAUCCCAGACCACUCGUCAAAGGUAUUGUUAGACCAGAGCCUAACAAGUACGGGUAUCGACUUAUCAAGCCACAGGAGUACACAACGGAACCUGUGCGCCUUAAGAAAUUAGGUGGACGGGAUCCUGAAACCGGGAGAGUUGUGGUUCGUACGAUAGGUGGUGGCUACCAGAGAUUCGCGCACUGGGUCGAUUUCAUGCGAGAUGGUCCGACAGAAGGCUUUCUCGAGGAAAAAGUCUAUGAAAUUAAAAAUGACGACUUACAAACUGCUAAACUGGCGCUUGUUGCUCAUGGUGAGAAAAAACGCUGGAUAAUAGCCACUGAGGGUAUUCAAGUGGGGCAGAUCCUUCGAACGACUCGUGAGUUGCCUCGUAUGCCUGUUCGCGCCCGUAUUGGGGACGCGCACCCACUUGGAGCUCUGCCUGUUGGUACGCAAGUACACUGCAUUGAGUACUUCCCGGGAACAGGCGCUCACAUCUGCCGAGCUGCUGGCGCGAGUGGCCGCAUCCAAAGGAAAGUGUCAGGUCGAGUUGUCGUUGAGCUUCCGAGCUCGCGUACGAUGGCUCUGUCAGAGCAUUGCUUGGCCGUUGUGGGGCAGGUGUCAAACGCGGACCGCAUGGCGACAUUUUACCCAAUUGGAAGUCCUAAUCGACUUCGUCGAUUGGGUCAUCGUCCAAGAAGUGGCUUUUGGCAUCGCAAGGAUGGAUACUGCGGACGAAAAAUUAAACGGCAUCCGCCUGUCAAGAUCAUGCCUAUACGUAGACCGACAAUCACAAGCCAAUAUGUCAUUCAGUCAUAAACUAGCCCAGUGCCUUCGGCGGUUUAAUGUUUUCAACAGACGAAAUUAAAGCUACACGAGGGCCGUGUGUGUUGUCAUCUGGUGCGCUUAUUCAAGUUGUUCGUCCCUACGCUAGUUUCGUAUCGCUUCUCUCAAGUUAAAUUGAGACUUGCACCGAGGCUCGGAACCACUAGCUAAUAUUAAUUGGCUCGAACGCCAUGAACUCCAGCGCCAUAUUUGUCUAAUAUUCGGCUACGCGUGACAAAAAGUUUCAACGGAUUUUGCAAUGUAAGACUAGAACAGAGACUGAUAUUAGCUUAAAUUUAAUAGGGUCAAGGUACAAGGCAUCACUUCGACGGAAACAGGAUCUACCUUUUAAUAGAGGUAUUGCAGCAAAACUUGGCUGUUCAUAAAGUAUAUUCAAGAUCUGACAUAGAAUCUCCUCACAUUUCUGCUUUUGUCAUGGAUAACCUAGCUCUUUUUGCUAUAAUAGUCCAUCACUUCUGCAUAAGAAUUUCGGACGUUCUCGAAGAGAGAGGUUUGGGCACAGUUGAACAAUCAAAAUGCCAACCGGCCUAUUUAAUCUUUUAUAUUCUAGCAAUCAAUGAAACACCGUCACCAUUAUUUUCGAUAAAAAUCUCGUUCGUACGAGCACUCGACUUCAUAAAAAUCCCGAGACAGAGCUCUUUUGCUUUGCACAUAUGUUCGCACGCACAUUGCUUUUACCGAUUAUUGUUGUAGUAAGACAAAUUGUCAUUACGGUAAGUGCUAUUUUUCCAAAACGUAUGGACGUCAGCGACAGCGGUGCUAGAGCAUUACUCUGAAAUAUCGUUCGUCUGCUGCCAUUCACUGUGUCUUAUCUUUAUUGUCAUAACCACCAGCAUCAUUAUGAUCAUCCUUAAAUACAUCCUACAUAUGAUGUACACGACCUUCAUGGUGAUUGACGAAGAUGUAUAUAUAUACGAUCAUCGCCAUUAUCUUAACUCAGUCAUUCCUUCAUUAAUCGUGACAGUAUGAUUCUUGUCGAUUAAUAAUAGUAUAAAGGGUGAAUAAUAUCAAUAGCAGUGGAGGUAACGAGUACGAUCAUCGUAUCAAAAUGGAGUGGAACGCAACAACAGCUAAUAGCCUUUAAAUAGAAAGUGAUAAAAUAAAAGUGACUCCUUUUGUAUUAGGUUUAUACUGAAAGAUCCUACUAAUCCUACAACUUUAAGUUAAAGUCUAGCCUACCGUGUUGACCAUGAAAGUAGUUCAAGUCCAAAAGUACCUUUUUUUAUCGCUAGCAUUAUGUUUACGACAAUCAGCGUCGAUCGUAUUUAUUUUCGUCCUGUGUAUGUAAUGGAAGUAAUGUAACAAAUGUAAGGGAAGUGCAUAGUUGGCAAGUGGAAAAAUUGAAAAAAAAUUUACGCAAUAAUAGUGAGGUCCUUCCGAAUCUUCCGAUAGAUCUACAAGUCUGCACUGAAAUCACUAUUUUUAUGAUAAGGAAAAAGGGUACGGUACAGGAGUUUACGUUUUUGAGCAGGCUGUGCUACUGAGCCAUAAGGAUUUGGAUCAGAUAUAACGUUGUCCAAAGGCACCAGCGGCAGUAAUCGCCAACUUGUGUGCUUCUUUCGCGCGAUGAAAGGCACAGAAAAACCAAUCCUCGAAAAAUACUGAUAUUAUAAUUAUCUGAAAGGAAUGAAUUUGAUUUAACAAGCAAAUACGGUGAUCUGAUUCUGACAAUAAAAUGCUCUACGGUUUUUGCUGCAUUUAGCAUGAAACAUAUGUCUCUGCCGCAAUCCAGAUAUAAUGACUAACAUAAAUUAUUACUAUGUAGUCUACUGUCAUCCUCAUUGCAGCAGGGAAGUUAACGUAGCACUGCGUAAAGGCAUUUACUGUUCAACAAAAUAAACGAUGCAUCAAUGAAGCUAUUCUCUAUAUAAUAUAUGAAGUCUGAACUGAAACAGGCCUUUAUAGUUUUCGGAAAUCAAUAACUGAAACACUAAUAUAAUAUAAGAUGAUUCAGUUUCAUGACGAAUUAGUAAUUAGGACACCUAAUAAUUGAGUUUACAAGGCUGGAGCUUUCAAGUAAAGAGAUAUCUUUACCUAUGUAACAUCAAAUAUAAGUACAUACUUAACUUGACCCUUGUCUAUGAUUCACGGUAUCACUAGUUUAUAUGUAAGGCAGACGAUUUACCGCAUUUCUGGUAGUGAUUACUCCCAUUAAGCCAUCGUGUCGUUGCAGUGCGGCUAUAAUAUCGGAUGGGUAACGUCAUUGCAAUCUUUUGUGUAUCCCGCGUAGAAAUCUUUGAGUCGUGCUGAACAAUAAUUCUAUAUAUGCGACAACCUUCUUAAACGGACGUCCGUAUUGCUGGACACAGAGGAACUAGGUAACACUAAGUCACGAAUUCUUUGAAGCGGCCUCUACAGCUAUUGGGAACUCAAUAAACUAAGGGGGUUUGGAUAAUUGAAAUAAUUAAGAAAUUGAAGAUAUUAUAAGCAUUCCAUCUAUAGAAAAAGCCAAAUGGCUGUCUACAUAGUUGUGUUUGUUAUCUGAAUAUCACACGUUUCUAUGAAAUAUUACGUCACACGUUUACCCGGUAACACAUACACAACUGGUUUUUCCUUGAAUAGGCUACUGUCAAAGGUUAGGCCUUUCAGUAUUGGUACUUGUCUACAAGGUCAACAUCCGGACUCUUUUUUUUCAUAUUAGGCCUUCAACUUAUAGGCAAAGAAAAUCAUAAUCGAAGAAGAUUGCUGAAGAAUAAUUUUGCAAGAAGAGCGCUAAGUCCACCUAUCAGCAGUAGCACCACAAAAGUACUCAGCCUGGACAAAUUAAGUGAUUUUUACUUGUACCUUUGGGAACUAUCAUCUCGGUCUGGAGGUCGUUCUAUGACGCAAAAUAGAUUCAGUGCUCAGUGAGCUGAGUAGAUGGUAAGUGGUUGGAUUGGAUACACGUAUAGCAUUGAUGCCCGUCUAGGCUUUGUUGUAUACAUUCUUUGACUGAACUAAAGGUAAUGUACGUUCAGAUUCAAACAGAGUGCAUUCUACUACAGUAAUUUCAAUAAUUUCGUAUCUGACCUUAUACAACAUAACAUAUAUUGCCGUAAUGCUGUAUACGAGGCAAUCUGGGCUAAUUUCUCCUAUGCCUAACAUAUCCUAUUCGAGUCAAUAGUAGAUUAAUUACUGACCACCAAUAUUAAUAAUCUCUGUUGUAAGUAUUUGUUGGUAUAUCCUAAGAAUAGCCAUAUGGUGUACUGUUGUUCUAACUAGAUCUUACAAUAAUACUAUUACUACCGCCAGUACGUGUAAUAGUUAUGCUUAAUUAAUGGUUAAUUUAAAGAGAGAGAGUAUUUAACUAACGUUGUUGAAGGCUCAUAUAUGAGCAUGUUCAUACGGUAAGUCAAUUGUAUUACAUGCUGUUACUGGUUUGUGAUGCUGUCUACAUUUUCCACGACGAAAAAUCAAUCUCACCAGCCCGGUUAAACAAAUAUAAUAAAUCAAUGCAGCAUACAACUGGCUGUUAUAGUUAGUGCAAAAAAGGAGUGAGUCAAAUCAUUCAUAUACAACGCUUCUACUUUACUUAGUUAUCUCCUACAGUUGCACUCUUUCUUCCUCUUUAUUGUAGUAUUUAUUAUUAUAUUAAUGUAUCUUAGUAAUAAUGGUAAUUAUGUAUGAUCAUAGUAAUAAUAGUACUCAAUAACGUAAACGUUGCGCUAUCAUAUAGUAUAUUAUCAGUUGUUUUAGAUUAGCUAUUGAUACUUCUCAUACACCCCCUGGAUCGUAGCUUAUGCGUGUAUAGAUUAGAUAACUUGGCUGCAUUUACACACUACCCUUAUAUUCAGUUACAUUCGGUUCUGUCUAAUAAUAAGUGUUCCGUCUUCAGUAAUUCUAUGAGGGCAUCUACUCAAGAACAGGGCAUCACUUUCACUCGAUUAUCGUUAUUAUUAUUAUCAUCAUCAACGUCAUUACCUACAUGCGAUUAAACAUGGUUGUACCGUGAAAACUUCAACCAUGUGCUCAUUCUUUCUCAUUUCCCUUUUUCUUUAUGUACUUAGUAUAAUAAACAGAGCAUCUGCCCUCGGGCACCAUUUCUUACAUUAUAUAUAUGGCUUUUCAGUCGUAGUAGGGCGAACAGUUUUUAGCGUUGUUUACAGACAUAUGUGCUGCAAGAUGAAUAUAUGUAAAUAUGUACGGGUUCGAUGUACUUGCUAUGUAUUUCACAUACAGAAAAGGGAUACACGGGAGGGGAGGAUAAGGAUUAAUUACCUGCUGAUAUCGAUCAGGUGAAUUAUAUAGCGUUAUUGGUAACGCAUAUUAUUACGGUGAUAAAGUUCAUAGUGAAAGUACUUGAGUACCAUUGCUAAAAGAAGGUUCUUCUGGACUUAAAUGGUCCUCGUUCGCCUUGGGUUUUUGGUGCUGCACUUUAUAAGGGAAUUUAAUUAUGAUGUCAGUAAGUGACUCUGAAGUAGCAGCAGGUAUCUACCACCCAUAUUUUCUAGAUGUGAUACCAUAUAUUAUCAAUAAUUUUAUUGGUUUCGUUCGACCGUCGCUGCUCGUAUUCACUCAUAAGUUCAAAUCAGCUAAGGUCCGUUUCCACUUCGAUCCAUGUUGAGACCUAAGUUAUUACAACAUGAAAGAGGACCUGAGAUACGGCCGAAAAGCUGUGGUGGAAGUAGAUGACUAAAUCUAAUAUCUUUAAGCCAUAGGUAGUAGUUUGCUAUUUCUGAUGUGCUAUUACCGUAUAACUGUUUAUAGCUGCUAGUGUUGCCAUUUUGUUAUUCCUACCCGUUCAAAGAAUAAAACCAACUAGGGUGGAAUUUCCAUUCAGUGUCAUUUCCACUUAGUACUGAGAUUACUGUGGCGCCGCGUCAGUCUUAGUCAAUGGCGAGCAACCCGAAACAGAUAUGGCAAGCCCAUCUAUUUUUUUAGUAAAAUCUUAGCAUCCUUACAUCUUACGUUAUUCUCAGCAUCGCCGAGAGUUGGAAUCUCAGCCGAGAUUUCGUAUGCACGUGCUAUUGGAUGCCGUAACAAACCUUAGUAAUUACGAUCCGCGCGGGAGAUAUGUGGCUGAUUUAUAUUCAAUUCAAGUUAUGACUCAACCGUCGCCUGUAUGACUACUCCCCUGAAGCCGGAAAAUGCCCCCAAGUAAUGCAUACUUGAAUGGAAUUUUCGGAUUCGGCAGUCAGCCCUAUUGUACACUUCUUUUAUCGGUACAAAAAGGUAUCAUAGCUGAUUAAGAACUUCGAGAUUAGUAAGCAUGUAAUCUCACACUCUUGUUUGCAUACCACGUAUAUACAGAAAGCAGCAAUUUUUUUAUACAGUAGAGGUGUAUUUCGUUCUCUGAUGUCUCGCUAAAUGGUCGUUGGCAAAAUUACCAGUUACCAUUAAGCAUCGUGCCCUUCACUAUGUAAUCAUGACUGUAUAUAAAUGUUAUCAUAAUUAUUAUUAAAUGUAGUACUUAUAACGUAUUGCAUCUUUGACUUGAUGCAUACGUAUAUUGUAUGGGGCGGCGUGGUCUGGGUAGAUUCGACUGCGUAAUAAAUAAGCAUGCUGCCACAUUGGUACAAAUCUUAGCUCUGCAAAAUUUAUCAUAGGAUAUUAAUAAUCAAAAAAAAUAAGGAACAAAGAAAAAAUAAUGCAUUAAAAAAUGAGACGUGAUGAAUCCAACAAGACCCACUUCGGUUAAGUUCCUAACGGCAUCAAGUUUUUGCUGAUAUACCCAUCAUAUAAGCAUAAACACCAAAAAUACUAAAUCGAAAACAAAAUACUCAUGCUCCUUCUAUUCAUACAGUGCUAUAAAAUAGAAAUCGUUGUAGAUUCUUAUAUAACUUGUAGUGCUAUUACAAUCUUAUUUAUUUUUACGCGUCUUCAUGAUGGGCAUACGUGUUCUGUGAUCCUUUUGCGUUGGACAAUACAUAAUAAGUAAGGAAGCUAUCAAUUAUGUGUUAACUUUCAUUCAUCCUAAAUGAAAUCGUUCAUAUCUAUUUGCUACACUGAGGCUUUUCGUUUGCUUAUAGUGUCGUCCUGUCAUUGUGGAGAUAUUAAAUAUGUGUUUAAGGCUUUUUAAUUAAUCCAAACUCUUUAUUAACUCAAAGAUUGUUUCCUCUAUGUCCGACUAGCAUGACAUAUGAUGCUCUCAGAUGCUUAACUAUAUAUUUCACGAAUCUAAGGCUCUGUGAUAAGUCCAGAUAAUUCACGUUUUCACCAAAUAUGUGAAAAGUGAACGCGCCAUUGUGAAAACGUUGAUCGAUAAUGAAAAGCACUUGUAUUGCACUAACCAUUAAAACGAACAAUGAAAUUGCGCACGUAAGGUAACGAACUAGGAUCUCACGAUUUGUGUUGUACCCAAGGCUCUCCAAAGUCCUAUCAAAAUCAUUCCAUCUGCGCGUAAAGGAACAUUUGAUACAUCCUCACGCUGUUGCUUGUAGAAUAGCACGAACUUUUUUUGUAGGUAUUUGUAUAUUUUCAUCAUGUUUGCUUCUAUCGGGUGUUGACUCCCAGUUACUAAGCCAUAAAAAGGUCUAUACGAUCGGCAUACGAUUGAUAAUGUCAUAGGAUUAUGCAAAAAUGUACUAUAAUUAAAAUUCAACAGGUGUUGGAGGCACAUUGGAUAAAGUUGUUUGUUGUAAAUAAUUUUUUCCUAUUACGUGCGUGGCGACGGACACCUCCGUUGAGCGUUUCCCAAGGUCAUGUUAGUGACCAUCGUAUUUACUUAUUUAAGCUUUUAGAAGGGUCUCCUUUAACAUUCUUAAGGGUAAAUUGUGAUUAGGCAAUUAACUCAGAAACUGAGUAAUACUUUACGAACAUAAUCUCGUUUUAUUUCUUCACCUCGUGCUUUCAAAAUUUUCUAUUACAUGAAAUGCUUCGUUGCCCAAACGAUUAAUGUCACUGUUUUAAGAUAAAAGCCCACUACUAAAUCGGGCAUUUGCGCUUACCCUCAUUAUAUAAGGCAGUUAACUAUUACACAUAUUGAGCACAUACAAGCUCGAACCGGCAUUUAAAACUAUCCUCGUUAAUAACUUCCAUUAUAGCAGUAGCACGUCAAGCUCGAUUAAGAACGACUUACUAAGAGCUAUAAAGUAUCAACUUGUAAAAUGGUCAUGUGUUUUUCAUAAGCAUUUUAGCAUACGUCAUGACCAUUCGGUUUAUACGGCCCCCAUUUUAUUUUUUUGCCAACUGCUUUUUUCAGAAAUAUAGACGGCAUGUUUUAUGAAAUUGUUUUGAUUGUUAUUGUGACUAGCGUGAUGUUGAUGUCGGGCGAAGCAGUGUGUCCUUUUAGAAGACUUGGCCCUGUUUGUAAGUAAGUAAACUCCUGUUUUCGCAAGGAGCAGGACUUUCCUUGAGUAUUUCUCGCUGCGCAACAAUAAAAAAAGGCAUAAUGUCGGCUGUGAGCUAAGCCGUCGGACACAUGAGUGCUACUCGCUGACGUCAGGUCAUUUCACGCAAUGCAAUUUUUUUUUAUCUUCCCGUAUGCCCUUCCGAAAAACUCAAGUGUAGCAGCGAGUUCUCCGAUGUAUGGCCAAAAUUGAAUACUAUACCUCGUGCCUCUUGUAAGAUAUUUAGUUUACACUUUUCCUUCAGUCAACUUAGUUUACUCAUUAGACUACGAAUUAUCAUAGAUAGCUGAUGGCUAAAAUAUUACAAUAUAAUAGGCAGAUUGAGGCGUCUAAUAGUCAGCCUGGUUAUGGCAGUAUUAAUCACAUUGAUAGGCGACAAAUUAAAUCAUUGAAUCCUUCUAUUCUCAUGACUUUAAUAGUUUUGUAGAAUUGUCACUCGAUUAGCCCAGUACUGUACUAGUGCAAGGUCGUCGUAUAUUAUUCCAAUAUCAAAACUUAGUGUUACUGCAAUCAUAUUUAUCGUUAUUCAAUUGAGCAGAUCAAUGCUCUUACUUUCCUUUUUAAAUUUUCCGUAAUUUUUUGUCAAGUUACGAUACGGAUUUUGUAACACCUAUGAAAAGUAAAACAUCUAACGCUUUAUACUUCCGCUACUAAUCGUGAGUAGUUGUUCGAUGUCAGUACGAGUGUGUAUGUCUGGUAGGAGAAAAACAUUGGGAUUUCCGAGGUGCUCACGAAAUUGAACCCAACGGAACCAAGGUAGUGCAUUUAGUUUCGCCAACUUCUCGGAAGGGUCAUGCGUCCACCUGCAGAUUAAAAAAAACAACUUCAAAAUAAUGAUCAACUAAAUAUUGUGUGUUUUAGACUUGAACGCCUCGCCGACUGAAACAAUAACAAUUUGUCCUCCUCUUUCUGUAGAUUGUUAGCUAUAAACGGUAAGUGUAAUUGGAAAUCGGCCGUGCAAGCCAGCUACUUUCAAUAUUCCAAUUGUGUUUUUUGUAUAUUCGAAAUAUGAUGGGGUGACAAGCAGGAAUGUACACCCAUGUGCCACCCCAUCAUGUGGUGUUCGUAGGAGUAUUAAAGCUGAAUUUUUAGUUACCAUAUUAGAUAGAUAAACUUAAAACAUCCUGUAAAAGACGGGCCACAAUUUGACCUAUCUCAAUUUGUCUCAAGUAUCGGCCCAAGUCACAUGAAUGAACAGGUGGCAACAAAGUUUAGCCUUUGACGACAUGAAGAUUUAAUGGCCGACAGUGGCAUGGUAAGCUUUAAUGACAUAAAUGAAUAUCUUGCCAAUGCUUUUACUGACUGAAAAUCCCGAAAAACAACUUUUCUACUUGUAAGCUGGAGGAAGACGUUAAUUAAUGUGAAGCAAUUAAUGUGCUAGAUGUCCUGUGUUGCUAUAACUGAGAAUCCUUGCUUCGACAAUCGAGAACUGCUCACAUGGUCCUAAUGGGUACCAUGACUACCUAUAUCGGUUUACGAAGCACCUGCAUAUUAAGCACAUCGAAGAAACGACAGCCCAUAGGAUGUAUGAUAGUUCUAUUUUACAAAUACGAAGUAAUUAAAGCGAUUCAUAUUGUUAUACUUUGGAACGUUUUAUACUGACUUUUGGCACUCAAGCUCCGUUGUUACGAGACACAUUGCUAUACUUUAGUUUCACAAAUACAAUCAACACUGCAUGACAUCGACGCGACGAACCAAAAAGUGGGGCGCCACGAGAUAUUAGAACGCAACUGAAAUCGCUCAUUGACAAGACUUUCUAUAAACAGCUUAAACAGUACCUGCUGCUGCAACCUUGCCAGGAACAAAAAUACCCCGUUAUAUAAAACAAUAUUUUCAGCCAGAAAUCUUUAAAAAAGAAAAACUAAUAUAAGCGCUACGCCCACAACUUAGGCAAAUCCUAACAAGCUAAAUCUUUAUUCUAUAUGCUUAUAAAAGGGGCUAACUAUGCGAUCAGGUUGACCGACAAAUGUCGAUCGGCCUGUUAAAAAAAUAGUGUGGCAAACUUUAGCUGUCACUU